rnacentral:lncRNA from 1 species
GCAGAGGUGGGGUACUACUCAAGGACUCUUUAAACAAACAUGAAGUUUAAUUCAAUUGUUUCCUGAGAGGUUGACUUCUUCCAAAAGCCAAAGAAAAUCUCUUACUAAUCCAAAAGCUGUCUAAACCACUAAGGCCACAUGUUGGACGGAGGCACUUUCCUGCUGGAAUCCGAUAAAUCACCACACCCAAAUAUAGAAAGAAAAAGGGACACAGAUCAUCCACACCGUGGCCGAAUGUGUGACAUCUUUGCUGAACUCUCUCCGUUCCACCUUGUGGUGGAGGCCUCCAGUCCACCAAACACAGCCCUAGGCGUGUGAACCCUGCCACAAACAUCGGUGCUCUUCCUGCACAGGGCCUGGGACCAACCGUGGCCAGGACAUCAGCUGCUGGAAGCCGAGAGAGUUCAUCUGAGUGGCGAUUUUAUGAUCUGCAGAGUGGAAAGUAAUCAUAAUCCCUUGAGAAGUUUGCAGAAUCGAACCGAAUGUUGAAUGCCAAAGAUCUUCACAAAGCAA